rnacentral:rRNA from 1 species
AACGUAGGAGGCAAGCGUUAUCCGGAUUUACUGGGCGUAAAGCGUGUGCAGGCGGUUGUCCAAGUCGUGUAUGAAAGCGCUCCGCUUAACGGGGCGAGGCUAGACGAGACUGGGCGACUAGAAUCAGACAGAGGCAAGCGGAAUUCCGGGUGUAGUGGUGAAAUGCGUAGAGAUCCGGAGGAACCCCAGAGGCGAAGGCGGCGCCUGGCUCGCAACUGACGCUCAGACACGACAGCAUGGGGAGCGAACGGG